AGUAGGGACCAGCCACCACAUUCUCUCAUACUAAACAAGGUCUUUUGUUGUUAUUACAUAAUCAGAAUGACUGAAGUCAGAAAGGCCCUCAGGGCUUAUCUUGCCCAACCCCCGCUCCAGCAGGGACACCCAGAGCUGGGGGCUCAACCCCAUAUCCAGACAGCUGCUAAAGAUCUCCAGGGAGGAGAUUCUACAGUCUCUGGGCAGCCUGUGCCAGUGCUCUGUCACCCACGCACCAUGGAAGUGCUCCUGGUGUUCAGAGGGAACCUCCUGUGCUCCCAUUUGUGCCCAUUGCCUCUUGUCCUGGCACUGGGCACCACUGAAAUGAGGCUGGAUCCAUCCUCUCUGCAUACCCCCUUCAGACAUUUACAGGCACUGAUGAGAUCCCCCUGAGCCUCCCCUUCUUCAGCCCCAGAUCAGUGUCAGCCUCCCCUCACGGGAGAAGUGUUCCAGCAUCUUCAUUCUCCUGGUGGCCCUCUGUUUCACACUCUCCAUUAUGACCAUGUCAUUCUUGUUCUCAUGGGACCAGAACUGGACACAGUGCUUCAGGAGUGGCCUCACCAACAUUGAACAGAGCAUCUGCUUAUUACGUCUACUGAUUAAAAGGACUUCAUUCUGGAAAGAGAAGGGUUGAGAAGCUCUCAGAUGUCAAUACGUCCAGAGUAAUAGCAACAGAGAAGCAACACAAAAGAGAUGUGAGAUGUUUAACUUGAAAAACUUAGCUUAGCAAAAGGGGAAGAAAUCAAAAUGCAUUAAUGACACUUGCAUCAAAUAUGACAAUCUUCCACUACUGAGUUGAGGAUGAGUUGUUUCUCUUCCUUCAACAUUAAUAGAUGCCCUGCCAAUGACUUCGUAAACAUGCACCCCAAAAAAAGGCUCUCAAGAAAGAAGGUGAAUCCUUGGAAUACAAAGUUUCCCAAGGAAAGUAAAUUUUAGGUAGAAAAGAUGCUGCUACAUGAUCAGCCUAAUUAGCCACCCAAGCAAAGCAUUAGUCAGGUUAGUACUCUUUACUCAAGUAGAAUCAAUAGCUGCAAAAUGGACAAGGUGCAACAUACUAAAUGAGACCCUGAGAGCACAGAAUGAAAAUAUGUUGUCAGAAGACUCCCUCAGUUACAGGGACAGAUGCUGAAGUAGGCAAGAAUACAAGGAACAAGCUUGACAACUAUGAAAGGGUAGCCAUAUAGCAUGGGAAGUGUAGGCUGCAAGCUCAACGAGUGUUAUGAGGCCUGGGGUAAGAAGGCAUCCAUUCUUGUCACAUCUGUUGGAGCUUUUCUAGCAGAAAUACCUGCUACAGAUCAUGAUCUGUUCCUCAGACUGACAGCAUAAGAAGGAAAGAGAAAUCUCCCCCUUUUUAUUUGCUAUGAUCAACUCACAGUGUUUCUCUAAUUAGCUGCUCUAUAUCAGAACAGACCAGAAAGUAAAACUCCGCUCUUCCCUGGUGUUAGUAGCUGCUUCCCAGUUGCUUAACUGCCACAUUCAAGUAUGGCCUUCAAAUCUCCAAAAUAUUCUGAUUUCUUAAAGAUCUAACAUUUCCCUCUUGGUAGGAAUCACAAGUUUCAAGCAGAAUCUUUUUUCUUCCACUGAUGAGAGAAGGACAAAUACUACCAUGUCCUGGACAAACCAUACUGUAGAUGAUUCUCGAUGAUUAGUCUGAUUCCUUAGACCAGUAGCUUUAGCAUCCCCUGAUCGUUUUUUUUUUUCCUGUAAAAUCCUAAUUCAAAUUAUCUUUUCCUAUCUAAUAGUAUAAUUAUAGAUUUUUUUCCAUCCUGUCUUGCAGAAAUUAAAAUAUUCUUAUAACCACAGACAAGCUCUCCGUAAUAACAAUACAACUGUUACAACAGAAAUUCAAAUUUUUCUGAAUAUAUUACAAAAACUACAUGUUAUUGACCAUCACAUUGUUACGGUAUGGAAGGGAGUCUAACUUGCUCAUCUAAACAUAGACUUCAGUCUAUUAUCAAAACAUAGUCUUCUCUACAAUAAAGUAGUAUUACUGUUGUAACAAUACUUAACAAACCAUUCUGUGCUCAUACAGAGACAGCAGUGCUAUCGCAGCUUGUAAAUGGUACUAUUCUAAGAAUGUUCAUGAAGUGAAGAGCGUGUUUGCUGGUGGCCUUGGCAACAAGUGAAGGCUAUUUGGAAAUCACUAACUCCAGGUCACCUCUACCUUCUCUGCUUGCGCAGUAGAUUGGGUAAUAAAGCCUAUAAAGACAACUAAGGCAAACAGACCUUGCCAGGUUGGCGCGUUCUAACUCCUAUGUGUUCAGCUAAACUGCCAUUUCAAAAGAGAAAGAAACGAGAGAACAAG